ensembl:lncRNA
CCACCCCCCCCUGUACCGUGCCCCACACGAGCACGUCGUGCGACGAACUCAUGAGUAGGCGGUGCCGCAGUCAAGGCGUGCGAAUAGGGGUGGCCUGGGCCGAUAACGUGGCGUCGGCGACGCGCCGGCCCCCGCCAGCUCCCGCAGCAGCACCGACCCCCCCGGGGCUUCUAUGGGGCGGUGAAGGGCUUCGAGGGCUGACAGCACCGAGUCCAGCUGAAGGAGACCCUCCUGAAGGACCUUGGGCUCGUGGGAAAGGGCCGUACCAGGAUGGACUUGCAGACCCCGGCCACAGCCUGACACGCAGCCGAGGUGGGAAGUCCACGGAGGUUGGCAGCGCCCAGAUGGUGACCAGGGCCGCAGCCCCCUGGCCACGAACUCCUGGCAAUGGUCGUCCGUCGUGUUGUUGCUCAGGAUGGACUCGACGAAUUUCAUCUGAAAACGGGCCAAAAAGGGCAAAAAACGGGCAAUGAGAGCAACUGAGGGGUUCAGAACCAUCAAUUGCAGCAAUUGGCCCAAUAAAGCAUGAUGGGGUUCAGAACCA